AGCGAACGCUGGCGGCAGGCCUAACACAUGCAAGUCGAACGAACUCUUCGGAGUUAGUGGCGGACGGGUGAGUAACACGUGGGAACGUGCCUUUAGGUUCGGAAUAACUCAGGGAAACUUGUGCUAAUACCGAAUGUGCCCUUCGGGUGAAAGAUUUAUCGCCUUUAGAGCGGCCCGCGUCUGAUUAGCUAGUUGGUGAGGUAAAGGCUCACCAAGGCGACGAUCAGUAGCUGGUCUGAGAGGAUGAUCAGCCACAUUGGGACUGAGACACGGCCCAAACUCCUACGGGAGGCAGCAGUGGGGAAUCUUGCGCAAUGGGCGAAAGCCUGACGCAGCCAUGCCGCGUGAAUGAUGAAGGUCUUAGGAUUGUAAAAUUCUUUAACCGGGGACGAUAAUGACGGUACCCGGAGAAGAAGCCCCGGCUAACUUCGUG
rnacentral:rRNA from 1 species